rnacentral:rRNA from 1 species
GUGGGGAAUAUUGCACAAUGGGCGAAAGCCUGAUGCAGCGACGCCGCGUGAGGGAUGACGGCCUUCGGGUUGUAAACCUCUUUCAGUAGGGAAGAAGCCUUCGGGUGACGGUACCUGCAGAAGAAGCGCCGGCUAACUACGUGCCAGCAGCCGCGGUAAUACGUAGGGCGCAAGCGUUGUCCGGAAUUAUUGGGCGUAAAGAGCUCGUAGGCGGUUUGUCGCGUCUGCUGUGAAAACGCAAGGCUUAACCUUGCGCCUGCAGUGGGUACGGGCAGACUAGAGUGCGGUAGGGGAGACUGGAAUUCCUGGUGUAGCGGUGGAAUGCGCAGAUAUCAGGAGGAACACCGAUGGCGAAGGCAGGUCUCUGGGCCGUUACUGACGCUGAGGAGCGAAAGCAUGGGGAGCGAACAGGAUUAGAAACCCUAGUAGUCC